CAAGAAUCUCAUCAAAAUGACCCACAACAGCCCAAAUUAGCUAGAUCAAAUUUUAUCACUCUCAAAGUGAACCAAAAACAGAGUAAAUUAUAAAUUUAAGAAAGAAGACCCCUACAUAUCCAAAAGAAAUAUUAAAACUUAAGAGAAUCUAAAGGGGGAGAUAUAACAAAUUUCAAUCUGAUAAAAACUCAAUAGGUUAAUAAAGCAAAUCAAGAACACCCACAUUGUCAAACAAAAAAAAUCAGCAAAAACCAAGCCACAAAUCAAAUUCAAAUAAUUUCCAGAAAACAAGUGGAUUUCCAGAAGUUUCUGAAUCAUCAAUAUUUGGAAAACCAGUGACUGACUUUCAUCAAUAUUGAAAUUUCCUAUCCAAUAUCUCAACUUUAUAUUUAAUCCCAGCAAUUAAACCCAUCAAUUGUGGAUUUAAUCAUAUCCCAUCAGUUUUCAAAGGUAAAAACAAAAUGGGCAUGGGAACUCUUCCCUAAUGUCAUCAUCUGCAUCAAUUUCUUCAAAACCCACGAGCAUAUCUGCAUCAAAAUCAUCCAUAUCAUUUCAGAUAAACGAAUUCACAUAUAAACAUGACUACAAAAACCUAGAUUUAAUAAAAACAGAUUUUAGGGCUUGGUGAGAGAAAAUAGAAGAAGAAAUUCGAGAUUUGGUAUAGCAAGAGAUAAGAGUGAGAAUUAAUUUGGAGACUACUUUGAUUUUAGAAGAAAAUUGAAAAGGCGGUUUUGUGCCGCCUCACUAUCUCUCAUGGAUUACGAAUUGGGUUACGAAUUAGUGCAGAGAUUAGAGCAGGUCGUGAAGCAGCUCGCGUGGAGGAAUUCUUUCCUUUAGAGAUAACAUAUACAGUACAAAAAUCUGGUACCCCUUUCAACACAUUUCCUGGAAUAUCUUUUGCUUUAAAUCUUCUGUGAGGAAAUAUUAGCGAACUUAGAACUCGGGGAUUUGCUUGGAAUCGUCCGGGAAGUGGGUCCUUCACGCUGUCAGCCCAGAGUGAACAUCUUCCGGGAAUCAACCGAAACAACAUCUUCAUCCUCAGAGUGAACGAACCCAGUUGAAGAAAUCGGGCGAGACUGUUGGUGGGUUUGAAGGUUCAAGGAAGAAUAAGAGGAGAAGAGAGGAAGAAAAAG
rnacentral:lncRNA from 1 species